GUGUUAUUUUGGUAGCACAUAUACUGAAAUUGGAACGAUACACAGAAGAUUAGCAUGGCCCCUGCAGCAAGGAUGACACGCAAAUUCGUGAAGCGUUCUACCAUCUA
rnacentral:snRNA from 1 species